rnacentral:rRNA from 1 species
AUUGAACGCUGGCGGCAGGCCUAACACAUGCAAGUCGAGCGAGCGGCGGACGGGGGAGUAAUGUCUGGGGAACUGCCUGAUGGAGGGGGAUAACUACUGGAAAAGGUAGCUCAUACCGCAUACCAUCAGAUGUGCCCAGAUGGGAUUAGCUAGUAGGUGGGGUAACGGCUCACGUAGGCGACGAUCCCUAGCUGGUCUGAGAGGAUGACCAGACACACGGGAACUGAGACACGUGCCAGACUCCUACGGGAGGCAGCAGUGGGGAAUAGUGCACAAGUGGGGCAAACCUGAUGCAGCCAUGCCGCGUGAGUGAAGAAGGCCUUCGGGUUGUAAAGCACUUUCAGCGGGGAGGCGUUACCCGCAGAAGAAGCACCGGCUAACUCCGUGCCAGCAGCCGCGGUAAUAC